rnacentral:lncRNA from 1 species
AAUUAAUGAGGCGUGAUCCAACGCUCCGUGUUUUUCUGAUAUUUAAUUCUUUUUAUUUUAUAAUUUUUAAUUGCUUUUACUUUUAAAAUUCAUAGUAAUUUCAUUUUUCAUCCAAAAAAUCCGAAAAUAAUUUAUAAAAUUCUCUUUUAUUUUUCUUCAUCUGAUUUUUAUUUUUUUACAUUUUAUUUCACUAAUUUUCU